UUCCUUUUACAGGAAAAGGACCAAAAUGAGAGGGACAAUCAAGUUCUCGAGGCUUCAUUCUUCAACGCUCAAACACUCGGGGGACUAUAUAGUAUACAUAGACACGUGUAUUAAGAAGGAAAAGAAGAAGAUUGAGAAACAAUCUAAGAUCAAGCCUAAAAAAGUUCACUCACCCCUUCAUCUGAAUGAAAGCCCGAGGGAAUAUGAAAGCUAUCCACCGGAUCUUGGAAACAACACACACAUGCCCCUAAGCGGAGCUCCAUUCGCUUUGAAUGAAUCAAGUGCAGAGCAAAGUCAUGAGCUAAAACCAACGAAAACCCUAUCAUAGUUAGGGUAAAGGCAAAGUACUGAAAUAGGUUAUAAAUAAAAACCUUGUAUUUAUUUUCUUUGAAAUAUACUGAAACGGAUUCUAUGUAAAAUCCUUGUGUAUAUUUUCCCUUUUAAAACCAGUUGUAAGAAAAACUGUUAUGAGAAAUGUAUUGAAAUGGGUUAUAUGUAAAACCUUGUGUAUAUUUUCU
rnacentral:lncRNA from 1 species